rnacentral:rRNA from 1 species
CAGUAGCCGCGGGAAUACGAGGGGGGCAAGCGUUGUUCGGAAUUAUUGGGCGUAAAGGGUGCGUAGGCGGUUUGGCAAGUUUGGUGUGAAAUCUUCGGGCUCAACUCGAAGUCUGCAUCGAAAACUGCCGGGCUUGAGUAUGGGAGAGGUGAGUGGAAUUUCCGGUGUAGCGGUGAAAUGCGUAGAUAUGUGGAGGAACACCGAUGGCGAAGGCAGCCUCCUGGGCCAAUACUGACGCUCAUGCACGAAAGCGUGGGGAGCAAACAGGAUUAGAUACCCCCGUAGUCCCUGUCUCUUAUAC